rnacentral:antisense_RNA from 1 species
CAUAACUGAAGAUUACUAAUGGGUUUAAUGUAGGGUUUUUAACAAGACGUACAUCUCCUCCACCUGGAGCCCAAGUGUCAUAAACACCACCAACAUACAUAGCUUUGGCUACUAAUAAAAACGCUCCAAUUCCUAAUAAACAUAAAUGAAUACCUAAAAUUGUUGUCAUUUUAUUUUUGUCACGCCA